rnacentral:tRNA from 1 species
GGGUCCGUGGCGCAGCACGGAUUUAGCAUAAAUAAGUCUAAAUUAAAGGCGAUUGUUUAUGUUAAACGGAUAGCGCGUCAGCCUUCUAAGCUGAAUGUCCUGGGUUCAAAUCCCAGCGGACCCG